UGUUACUCCUCGGGAUGGCUUCAGAUCACCAACCUCCGCACUAUGGGAGAUCGAGCUUUCUGUGCAGCUGCCCCCCGGCUGUGGAACUCACUCCCAGACCAUCUCAGAGCUCCUCAACCUGUGAACACUUUUAAGAGAGCACUAAAAACCUACCAUUUCAACAAAGCAUUUGGUUAGCUUUUUAAGCCGGUUUUAAUAACCCUGCCUCUCCUUUUUAAAACGUGUUUUUAAACUUGUUUUUUAACCUGUUUAUACAUUU